rnacentral:rRNA from 1 species
GAUGAACGCUGGCGGCGUGCCUAAUACAUGCAAGUCGAGCGAACGGACGAGAAGCUUGCUUCUCUGAUGUUAGCGGCGGACGGGUGAGUAACACGUGGAUAACCUACCUAUAAGACUGGGAUAACUUCGGGAAACCGUAGCUAAUACCGGAUAAUAUUUUGAACCGCAUGGUUCAAAAGUGAAAGACGGUCUUGCUGUCACUUAUAGAUGGAUCCGCGCUGCAUUAGAUAGUUGGUAAGGUAACGGCUUACCAAGGCAACGAUGCAUAGCCGACCUGAGAGGGUGAUCGGCCACCCGGGAACUGAGACACGGUCCAGACUCCUACGGGAGGCAGCAGUAGGGAAUCUUCCGCAAUGGGCGAAAGCCUGACGGAGCAACGCCGCGUGAGUGAUGAAGGUCUUCGGAUCGUAAAACUCUGUUAUUAGGGAAGAACAUAUGUGUAAGUAACUGUGCACAUCUUGACGGUACCUAAUCAGAAAGCCACGGCUAACUACGUG